UUGUGGAGGAGGACGCCGAAGGUGGGGCUAAUGACCGGGGUGAAGUCGUAACAAGGUAGCUGUACCGGAAGGUGCGGCUGGAUCACCUCCUAACAAGGAGACAACAAAAUGUAAAUAUUAAUUUUGUCACCUUAGGUCGAUCGGUAUCUCAGAUUCUUAUUAUUUAAGAAUUUCAGUUUCUAAGUUUUUUCUAGGUCACACCCAUCACUUUUUCCUGGGCCAUUAGCUCAGGUGGUUAGAGCGCACCCCUGAUAAGGGUGAGGUCCCUGGUUCAAGUCCAGGAUGGCCCAUAUCUCUAUGUUGGGGGUAUAGCUCAGUUGGUAGAGCGCCUGCUUUGCAAGCAGGAUGUCAGCGGUUCGAGUCCGCUUACCUCCACUGAAUACCACCUCUUACAUAUAGUUGAAGUGGGAAAUUGUUUUGAGUCGUGUCCUAAUUUGCUCUGAGCGAAUCUAGCUUCCUAUUUUAUCCAAGAAAUAAGAUGCUGGACUCAUUGAAUUUUUUUUCGUUGUUUUCAGAGAACCUUGACAACUGCAUAGAUUAUUUUUAAAGACAAUAAGCAUCUUUAAUGAUGCAGAUUUAUUAUUUGUGCGAAUGCAUUAAAUAACAAUUCUAUUAAGCUGAUGCUUCAAUUAUUGAAGUUAUUGGUCAAGCUACAA
rnacentral:misc_RNA from 1 species